GGUUAAGCGACUAAGCGUACACGGUGGAUGCCCUGGCAGUCAGAGGCGAUGAAGGACGUGCUAAUCUGCGAUAAGCGUCGGUAAGGUGAUAUGAACCGUUAUAACCGGCGAUUUCCGAAUGGGGAAACCCAGUGUGUUUCGACACACUAUCAUUAACUGAAUCCAUAGGUUAAUGAGGCGAACCGGGGGAACUGAAACAUCUAAGUACCCCGAGGAAAAGAAAUCAACCGAGAUUCCCCCAGUAGCGGCGAGCGAACGGGGAGCAGCCCAGAGCCUGAAUCAGUGUGUGUGUUAGUGGAAGCGUCUGGAAAGGCGCGCGAUACAGGGUGACAGCCCCGUACACAAAAAUGCACAUGCUGUGAGCUCGAUGAGUAGGGCGGGACACGUGGUAUCCUGUCUGAAUAUGGGGGGACCAUCCUCCAAGGCUAAAUACUCCUGACUGACCGAUAGUGAACCAGUACCGUGAGGGAAAGGCGAAAAGAACCCCGGCGAGGGGAGUGAAAAAGAACCUGAAACCGUGUACGUACAAGCAGUGGGAGCACGCUUAGGCGUGUGACUGCGUACCUUUUGUAUAAUGGGUCAGCGACUUAUAUUCUGUAGCAAGGUUAACCGAAUAGGGGAGCCGAAGGGAAACCGAGUCUUAACUGGGCGUUAAGUUGCAGGGUAUAGACCCGAAACCCGGUGAUCUAGCCAUGGGCAGGUUGAAGGUUGGGUAACACUAACUGGAGGACCGAACCGACUAAUGUUGAAAAAUUAGCGGAUGACUUGUGGCUGGGGGUGAAAGGCCAAUCAAACCGGGAGAUAGCUGGUUCUCCCCGAAAGCUAUUUAGGUAGCGCCUCGUGAAUUCAUCUCCGGGGGUAGAGCACUGUUUCGGCAAGGGGGUCAUCCCGACUUACCAACCCGAUGCAAACUGCGAAUACCGGAGAAUGUUAUCACGGGAGACACACGGCGGGUGCUAACGUCCGUCGUGAAGAGGGAAACAACCCAGACCGCCAGCUAAGGUCCCAAAGUCAUGGUUAAGUGGGAAACGAUGUGGGAAGGCCCAGACAGCCAGGAUGUUGGCUUAGAAGCAGCCAUCAUUUAAAGAAAGCGUAAUAGCUCACUGGUCGAGUCGGCCUGCGCGGAAGAUGUAACGGGGCUAAACCAUGCACCGAAGCUGCGGCAGCGACGCUUAUGCGUUGUUGGGUAGGGGAGCGUUCUGUAAGCCUGCGAAGGUGUGCUGUGAGGCAUGCUGGAGGUAUCAGAAGUGCGAAUGCUGACAUAAGUAACGAUAAAGCGGGUGAAAAGCCCGCUCGCCGGAAGACCAAGGGUUCCUGUCCAACGUUAAUCGGGGCAGGGUGAGUCGACCCCUAAGGCGAGGCCGAAAGGCGUAGUCGAUGGGAAACAGGUUAAUAUUCCUGUACUUGGUGUUACUGCGAAGGGGGGACGGAGAAGGCUAUGUUGGCCGGGCGACGGUUGUCCCGGUUUAAGCGUGUAGGCUGGUUUUCCAGGCAAAUCCGGAAAAUCAAGGCUGAGGCGUGAUGACGAGGCACUACGGUGCUGAAGCAACAAAUGCCCUGCUUCCAGGAAAAGCCUCUAAGCAUCAGGUAACAUCAAAUCGUACCCCAAACCGACACAGGUGGUCAGGUAGAGAAUACCAAGGCGCUUGAGAGAACUCGGGUGAAGGAACUAGGCAAAAUGGUGCCGUAACUUCGGGAGAAGGCACGCUGAUAUGUAGGUGAGGUCCCUCGCGGAUGGAGCUGAAAUCAGUCGAAGAUACCAGCUGGCUGCAACUGUUUAUUAAAAACACAGCACUGUGCAAACACGAAAGUGGACGUAUACGGUGUGACGCCUGCCCGGUGCCGGAAGGUUAAUUGAUGGGGUUAGCGCAAGCGAAGCUCUUGAUCGAAGCCCCGGUAAACGGCGGCCGUAACUAUAACGGUCCUAAGGUAGCGAAAUUCCUUGUCGGGUAAGUUCCGACCUGCACGAAUGGCGUAAUGAUGGCCAGGCUGUCUCCACCCGAGACUCAGUGAAAUUGAACUCGCUGUGAAGAUGCAGUGUACCCGCGGCAAGACGGAAAGACCCCGUGAACCUUUACUAUAGCUUGACACUGAACAUUGAGCCUUGAUGUGUAGGAUAGGUGGGAGGCUUAGAAGUGUGGACGCCAGUCUGCAUGGAGCCGACCUUGAAAUACCACCCUUUAAUGUUUGAUGUUCUAACGUUGACCCGUAAUCCGGGUUGCGGACAGUGUCUGGUGGGUAGUUUGACUGGGGCGGUCUCCUCCUAAAGAGUAACGGAGGAGCACGAAGGUUGGCUAAUCCUGGUCGGACAUCAGGAGGUUAGUGCAAUGGCAUAAGCCAGCUUGACUGCGAGCGUGACGGCGCGAGCAGGUGCGAAAGCAGGUCAUAGUGAUCCGGUGGUUCUGAAUGGAAGGGCCAUCGCUCAACGGAUAAAAGGUACUCCGGGGAUAACAGGCUGAUACCGCCCAAGAGUUCAUAUCGACGGCGGUGUUUGGCACCUCGAUGUCGGCUCAUCACAUCCUGGGGCUGAAGUAGGUCCCAAGGGUAUGGCUGUUCGCCAUUUAAAGUGGUACGCGAGCUGGGUUUAGAACGUCGUGAGACAGUUCGGUCCCUAUCUGCCGUGGGCGCUGGAGAACUGAGGGGGGCUGCUCCUAGUACGAGAGGACCGGAGUGGACGCAUCACUGGUGUUCGGGUUGUCAUGCCAAUGGCACUGCCCGGUAGCUAAAUGCGGAAGAGAUAAGUGCUGAAAGCAUCUAAGCACGAAACUUGCCCCGAGAUGAGUUCUCCCUGACCCUUUAAGGGUCCUGAAGGAACGUUGAAGACGACGACGUUGAUAGGCCGGGUGUGUAAGCGCAGCGAUGCGUUGAGCUAACCGGUACUAAUGAACCGUGAGGCUUAACCUU
rnacentral:rRNA from 1 species